AAACAAAUCCGGAUUCAUGACUGUCGCGACGUCGUCCAACAAGUUUUGAAAUUUCGCCCUGGUUUUCAUUCUUUCACGCAGUCCCGGUCGCAAACUAAGAUGCAUAGUUCGUAAAAUAGGGGAAAUAAGCUUCUAGACGGCAACCAACUUGUUUCCCGUUCUGACCAUCAGUAGCACCAGGAUAAACUCCUUGCAAUCGGUCUCGUCGAUGGAACAGCAAGCCGGAACAAAAAAAAACAUUUUCGAAUCAUCCAAAGUUUUGUCGCUCCAGAAUCGCAAACAAGAUAUUCUUUUUACGCCAUCGCUUCCCGUCAUAGUCGCGAUGACCAUCGCUUUCCCCCGUUAUUAGUGUGAGCCAUUACAGCAUUUACCAAUGUCUUCCGGUUUCCGUGCACUAACGACAGUCAUCGGAUUUAAGACUUGUGCAGGCAUUCAGAUUUUAUGGAAAGCUGAUCGAAAUGCAAAGUUUAUCUGGAAAGACUAAUAUUGCUAAUACGGAUUGCUUCCGGGCCGUUGGAUAUAAACGGACGAACUUUCCCCAUCCGUUGCAACAGCACCACCACAGCACUGCAGCAAACACAUCCAGGCUUGAGAAGACAAUCGUAGGAUGCCUGACCUGAGACUGAUCCAAUCUCUUCUUCUGUAAUUCACGGAUGAACCACGUACAGAAGUGGUCGCCGUCUCAUCUGGUUUAUUACCAAUAUUCCGAUGCAGCAAGGGGGUUGAAAGAAAUUUGAGCACCUCAGCAAUUGUAAUCGCUUGCAAUACGAAACCUGAUACAUUGCCGAAAAUCGCCUCUAAUGGACUGAAUCGAGGACCAAUUGGGUUGUUUAGCAAAGAAAAAAAUGGGGUUUUUUAUAGUUUAACAUAAAGAGCAUGCUUUUCUGAUCUCCAACAUAUUUUUAUUUUGUUUGUAAACCUUUUAUUUUCAUUUUUGUAUAGCAAACAAUAAGCCAUUUUAAUCGAUAGAAUGACACUAACAUUCAUAGAAUGACAGUUGGCCCAUGCAGCAUAAGAACAAAUUAUUAGCCCCAUAUAAAUUUAAAAUGCAAAUUAAAAAUAGUUCCGGUGCUCCAAAAAUUCUGAAAAAUUGGUGUUAAGCUCAGUUUUUUAUGCAGAUUCAGAAUAUGUAAAAACAUAUAUACCCCUAAACAACCCAAUUGGGUUGUUUAGCAAAGAAAAAAAUGGGGUUUUUUAUAGUUUAACAUAAAGAGCAUGCUUUUCUGAUCUCCAACAUAUUUUUAUUUUGUUUGUAAACCUUUUAUUUUCAUUUUUGUAUAGCAAACAAUAAGCCAUUUUAAUCGAUAGAAUGACACUAACAUUCAUAGAAUGACAGUUGGCCCAUGCAGCAUAAGAACAAAUUAUUAGCCCCAUAUAAAUUUAAAAUGCAAAUUAAAAAUAGUUCCGGUGCUCCAAAAAUUCUGAAAAAUUGGUGUUAAGCUCAGUUUUUUAUGCAGAUUCAGAAUAUGUAAAAACAUAUAUACCCCUAAACAACCCAAUUAUUGUUAGUUAAUAUAGAUUAUUAAAAUUUUCAUAGUUAUUAGAAUUUCAAUUUCUUUCACAGUUG